GGGGAGCGAGAGCAUCUCUCUCACGCGCGGCGGCGGCGGCGGUAGCGGCGGCUCCAGCUCCUCCUUUGUUCGCCUCCACACACCCCACCUCGCCAGCUCUUAGAGAUACCGGGCCGCCCGGCUGGCGGGGGCCGGCACGCAUUGAAAUAGAUACUGACAAUUCAAAGAAAUUGCUCAUUGCCACGGUGGACAACUGCUAUGAGUUAACAAGCAACCUGAAUUUCACAGGAUACCAUCUUGAACAACAUUGUUGAAAAUGUCUACUCCUGAUCCUCCAAUGGGAGGAACGCCUCGUCCUGGGCCUUCUCCUGGGCCUGGACCUUCUCCUGGUGCUAUGCUGGGCCCCAGCCCUGGACCGUCUCCAGGUUCUGCACAUAGCAUGAUGGGCCCCAGCCCCGGGCCACCAUCAGCAGGACACCCUAUACAACCACAAGGGCCUGGAGGUUAUUCUCAGGACAACAUGCAUCAGAUGCAUAAGCCAAUGGAUUCCAUGCAUGAGAAGGGAAUAUCUGAGGAUCCUCGUUACAGCCAAAUGAAGGGCAUGGGAAUGAGGGCUGGUGGGCACACAGGAAUGGGACCUCCUCCUAGUCCAAUGGAUCAGCAUUCUCAAGGUUACCCUUCUCCCCUUGGUGGUUCUGAACAUGCAUCGAGUCCAGUUCCAGCUAAUGGUCCUUCUUCUGGCCCCCAGAUACCCUCUGGUCCUGGAGGAGUCCCAUUAGAUGGUACUGACCCCCAAGCGCUAGGGCAGCAGAAUCGUGGCCCAACUCCUUUUAACCAGAAUCAGCUGCAUCAACUGAGGGCUCAGAUAAUGGCCUACAAGAUGCUUGCCAGAGGCCAGCCUUUACCUGACCAUCUUCACAUGGCCGUGCAGGGAAAAAGGCCAAUGCCUGGAAUGCAGCAGCAAAUGCCAACUCUACCUCCACCUUCUGUAUCUGGAACAGGACCAGUGCAAGGACCAGGGCCUGCACCUGGACCAACACCUCCGAACUACAACAGACCUCAUGGAGUGAUACAAACGGUGGAGGAAGAAAAACCUUACUCUGUGUGUAUGUGUCUGUCCAAUGUAUGCACAGGUAUGGGAGGGCCUAACAUGCCCCCUCCUGGACCCUCAGGAGUUCCUCCAGGAAUGCCCGGGCAGCCCCCUGGUGGACCCCCAAAGCCCUGGCCUGAAGGACCAAUGGCAAAUGCUGCAGCCCCUACUAGCACACCUCAGAAACUGAUCCCUCCUCAGCCAACAGGCCGUCCUUCACCAGCACCUCCGGCGGUACCUCCAGCAGCAUCCCCUGUAAUGCCUCCCCAAACUCAGUCACCGGGACAACCAGCCCAACCUGCCCCAAUGGUGCAACUCCACCAGAAGCAAAACCGUAUCACUCCAAUCCAGAAACCAAGAGGACUUGACCCAGUUGAAAUCCUUCAAGAGAGGGAGUACAGACUGCAGGCUCGCAUUGCUCACAGGAUACAAGAACUUGAAAACCUUCCUGGGUCACUGGCUGGUGACCUGCGAACCAAAGCUACCAUUGAACUUAAAGCACUACGAUUGCUUAACUUCCAGCGACAGCUGCGUCAAGAAGUUGUGGUAUGCAUGAGAAGAGAUACUGCUCUGGAAACAGCACUGAACGCCAAGGCAUACAAACGUAGCAAACGGCAGUCCCUGCGGGAAGCUCGCAUCACUGAGAAGCUGGAGAAACAGCAGAAGAUCGAACAAGAACGGAAACGCCGGCAAAAACAUCAGGAGUACCUCAAUAGCAUUCUUCAGCAUGCCAAGGAUUUUAAAGAAUACCACCGAUCUGUCACAGGGAAGAUUCAAAAACUGACAAAGGCUGUGGCCACUUACCAUGCCAAUACUGAGCGUGAGCAAAAGAAGGAGAAUGAGAGAAUUGAGAAGGAGAGAAUGCGUAGGUUGAUGGCUGAAGAUGAAGAAGGGUACCGUAAGCUAAUUGAUCAAAAGAAAGAUAAGCGCUUAGCCUACCUGCUUCAGCAAACAGAUGAAUAUGUGGCCAACCUCACAGAGCUGGUGAGACAACACAAGGCUGCCCAAGUUGCAAAGGAGAAAAAGAAGAAGAAGAAAAAGAAGAAGGCUGAAACUGCAGAAGGACAGACACCGGCAAUUGGACCAGAUGGUGAACCUUUGGAUGAAACCAGCCAAAUGAGUGACCUACCUGUGAAAGUGAUCCAUGUGGAAAGUGGGAAAAUUCUUACUGGCAUGGAUGCACCGAAAGCAGGACAACUGGAUACUUGGUUAGAAAUGAAUCCUGGAUAUGAAGUAGCACCAAGAUCUGACAGUGAAGAAAGCGGAUCAGAAGAGGAAGAAGAGGAGGAGGAAGAGGAACAACCACCGCCAUCUCAGCCUGCUUUACCUGUGGUGGAGGAGAAGAAGAAAAUUCCAGAUCCAGAUAGUGAUGAUGUAUCUGAAGUGGAUGCAAGGCACAUUAUUGAGAAUGCAAAGCAAGAUGUUGAUGACGAGUAUGGAGUGUCUCAAGCCCUGGCAAGGGGGUUACAGUCUUACUACGCUGUGGCUCAUGCAGUCACUGAAAGGGUGGACAAGCAGUCCACUCUCAUGGUAAAUGGUGUCCUCAAGCAGUAUCAGAUUAAAGGUUUAGAGUGGCUAGUAUCCUUGUACAAUAAUAAUCUAAAUGGAAUCCUGGCAGAUGAAAUGGGUCUGGGUAAGACAAUCCAGACCAUUGCUUUAAUUACAUACCUCAUGGAGCACAAACGUAUCAAUGGACCGUUCCUCAUUAUAGUACCUCUGUCAACUCUCUCAAACUGGGCAUAUGAAUUUGAUAAGUGGGCUCCUUCUGUGGUUAAAGUCUCAUACAAGGGCUCUCCAGCUGCAAGACGGGCAUUUGUACCUCAGCUUCGAAGUGGGAAGUUUAAUGUUUUGCUCACUACAUAUGAAUAUAUCAUCAAAGAUAAGCACAUUCUUGCCAAGAUUCGUUGGAAGUACAUGAUUGUUGACGAAGGUCACCGAAUGAAGAACCACCAUUGCAAGCUAACCCAAGUCCUGAAUACACACUACGUAGCUCCACGUCGUCUGCUUCUCACAGGGACUCCACUACAGAAUAAGCUGCCUGAACUAUGGGCUCUGCUCAACUUUCUCCUUCCAACUAUCUUCAAGAGCUGUAGCACAUUUGAACAGUGGUUUAAUGCUCCUUUUGCCAUGACUGGAGAAAAGGUGGAUUUAAAUGAAGAAGAAACUAUUCUAAUUAUCCGUCGUUUGCACAAAGUGUUGCGGCCCUUCCUGCUAAGAAGGUUAAAGAAGGAGGUAGAAGCACAGCUGCCUGAAAAGGUGGAAUAUGUGAUUAAGUGUGAUAUGUCUGCAUUACAAAGGGUACUUUAUAGACACAUGCAAGCCAAGGGAGUGCUGCUUACAGAUGGAUCAGAGAAGGACAAAAAGGGCAAAGGUGGUACAAAAACGCUCAUGAACACUAUUAUGCAGCUGAGGAAGAUUUGCAACCAUCCCUACAUGUUUCAGCACAUAGAGGAAUCCUUUUCUGAGCACUUAGGCUUCACUGGAGGCAUUGUGCAAGGGCUUGAUCUGUACCGUGCUUCAGGGAAGUUUGAGCUCCUAGAUCGGAUCCUUCCCAAGUUACGAGCUACCAACCACAAGGUGCUGCUUUUUUGUCAGAUGACCUCCCUCAUGACCAUAAUGGAAGAUUAUUUUGCUUACCGUGGCUUCAAAUACCUCAGGCUAGAUGGAACCACUAAAGCGGAAGACCGUGGCAUGCUGCUGAAAACGUUCAAUGAGCCGGGCUCUGAAUAUUUUAUUUUUUUGCUGAGUACCCGAGCUGGAGGCCUGGGGCUAAACCUACAGUCUGCUGACACUGUGAUCAUUUUUGACAGUGAUUGGAAUCCCCACCAGGACCUGCAGGCCCAGGACCGAGCGCAUCGCAUCGGGCAGCAGAACGAAGUCCGUGUGCUGCGCCUCUGCACCGUGAACAGCGUGGAAGAGAAGAUUCUCGCUGCAGCCAAGUACAAGCUGAAUGUAGAUCAAAAGGUUAUCCAGGCUGGCAUGUUUGACCAGAAAUCUUCCAGCCAUGAAAGGAGAGCUUUUCUCCAGGCUAUCUUGGAGCAUGAGGAGCAGGAUGAGACCAGAUACAGCACGGGCAGCGGCAGUGGCAGCGCAAGCUUUCCCCACACUGCCUCAUCCCUGUGCCUCAACUCCGACUUGGAGGAACCACCUUUAAAGGAGGAAGACGAAGUUCCUGAUGAUGAGACAGUUAACCAGAUGAUUGCCCGGCAUGAGGAGGAGUUUGACCUUUUUAUGCGCAUGGACUUGGAUCGCAGGCGAGAAGAAGCCCGCAAUCCAAAGAGAAAGCCACGUCUAAUGGAAGAGGAUGAAUUGCCCUCUUGGAUCAUUAAAGAUGAUGCUGAAGUAGAAAGGCUAACCUGCGAGGAAGAGGAAGAAAAGAUGUUUGGGCGAGGUUCUCGUCACCGUAAGGAAGUGGACUAUAGUGACUCGCUGACUGAGAAGCAGUGGCUCAAGGUAUACAUGGUACAGCAUCGUUCUCCAAUGAUUUUCUAAAUUUUUAUUUCUACUUGUGUCUGUGUUGUCUGUCUGUGUGUUGGAAAGUUGAGAAAAAUACCCAGUCUCAGAAGUUUUGAUGGUCAGCUAAGAUUGUGCUAGCAAACACCGAGUUUGGCAACAAUACUUUUUCGACAUGAUUAUCAUAAAUACUAUGAUGUUAUUAAAUUGAUAACCUAAAUGUUGGCAUUUAUAAAGUCUAGGAGCUUUCUUGAAAUACACAUCAACUUCACCAUGCAAAACUUCUGUUGGGUAUUAGGAACUCAGCUGUGUGGAAACCAUGUUGCCAAAUUUAAAUUCAAUUGAUCUCCUUGACAAACAUUUCAGAUGCAGAAGGCCUGCUUGCUAUGCAGCUGAGUGUAUGCUCUUCUUGCCUGCCUGGCCCAGCAUAUAUUUCAUCCUACUUGUUGCUAGGCAGUGAUCCAGAGACUGGGGGGCUCUCCUUUGGCCUGCAAGAGGCAGACUUUGGGACAGCACGGGGAGGGAAUAAGAAGCUGGUCCUGAGCUGCAGUAGCCAUCCCGAAGCACCGUUCCUCCUCAGAGCUUGGGCAAGAGAAAGAAAGUGCAGGUUUGGUUAACUUUGCUCUGCUGCCAAUCAAGCUAAGCUGGGUUUUUUCUUUGUGGAACACCCCAGGUGCUGAGUUAGGCUCUUAUGAGUUGAAGGAUUCAAGCCCAAGAAUUAAUCAGCAAAGGAGGAAGAGUUGUUCUGCUUUGCUCAGCCUUCCCAAAGGGUGAGAAAUUCCAUGUGCAAGUUUGGAGCCAGAGAAUCUUGCUAUGAAAUUCAGUUAUGAGUUCCUCCUUCCAACCUGCUCUCUUAAGGGCAUGAUGGCAAAGUCAGGUUCUCCAGCUGAAUAGCGAGUCCUCCGCCCACAGGUUAUGCUGUCCUGUUUGUCCAAGGCAGGGACAUGUGACUAACAUGGUGAACUGCAGUUUCAAGGCAUUUCUUACAGCUUCGUAGAGUGAACCAAAACAAGGUGUCUUGUCCAGACUAAACACUAGACCAGGAUCUGUCUACUGCACUCAGAGUCUCGGUUGUUCGUGUUGCCUAAAAUACUUGAAGCUUUGACAUUUCUUACCAUAGACUUCUGCUUGCUACCUGAGGGGAACACCCAGCCCUAUGGACCAAGUGCACAGAAAAUGAGCCUGGCCUUAAGAAGAUCCACAGAGCACAUGACUGAAGUCAUUAAGGUGGUCUCUGCCACCACUUAUCCUGUUAGAGGCAUUCUAGCCUGCCUUAAGGCCCUGAAGGAGGAGUUGUCAGAAGCUGCAACUUCUCUUGCAAAUAUUCUUGUACCUCAUACAUGCUAUUGUUCCAUGUAUUUUUUAGUGGCUCAAGAUGCUGUCGCAUCUUCUAUCUGGUCUCCGCAGACCUUGACAUGUGUCUGCAUCUUUGUGCUGUUUCACCUGUCCCUUUGGAGAGGAUGCUAUAAAAAGCCUUGCCAUUGGGAAGUUUGGUGCUGGUCAGCAGGUGCUUUUGAGCUACAUAGACCAGUGUAUGUAACACAGAACUAAACAGCUCCUUCUGGUAACUGCCAGUAGUGUGAAAGUGAGGCUGCCCAUUAUGCAAGUUGGUUGCACGUUCUCAUGGGCACCCGUCUGUCUUCCCUGGAACAAAUUCUUUGGGAGAGGGACUGAAACGUUGAGGUGGCAUGCAUGCCGUGCAUGUGUCAGAGUCAGUCCAUUUCAAGAUCACCAGUGGACCACAACCUGAGAAAGGCAUCUGCUGGAGACACUGGGGAGAAGCUGAUGUUCCACAGUGUCUCUAGAUGCAGCAUAUUAAUUCCCAAGGGCAGGAGGCCGAAACUCAAAUUGAGAAAAUGCCAUUCCAGCUCCUCUGAUGGUAAUGGCAGUGCCAUUAGAGGAGAUCUGCUUAAAAGACUGUGCCUCACUGCAGGGUAUUUUCACAGACCACAUCACAGCAAACUAGAUUUCAGAGAAGUUUAUUUUGCGGAAGAGUCAUUGGCAUGAUGACUAUUGGUUUUUCCAGCAGUUUCAGAGGAAACGCAGGCAUCAUGCAUCAGGAUUCAUGCAGGCAACACUUCUCCUUCAACCCAGAGAUUGUUCAGGUGCUUUCUAGCUUGAGACCAGCAUGGGCCUUUUGUCACCAAGUAAAGUAUCCCUUACUGGGUUUGAAGUGCAUUUGAAACUUUGCUGAGAACAUGAUCAGCACCUUGAUGCUUUGGAUUUGGGCUUUACUUUGUUGGACUUUACUCUGUUCCAAGUCAUCGUACACCUUGGUGGGGCAAGCAUAAGGCCACCCUGUUUCAUCCCCACCCCAUUCCGGGGCCGAAAAUGGCACAUGUGUCUGUGGUCGUGCAUGCCUUGAACACGUGCAAAAUGGGAGUUGCCUGUAUUUCAUAUUGGGAGCUCCAGCAUUUAAACCUUCGCAGGUGGAAAAAGCUGUGCAUGGCCCUUUUACAAUAUACACAGCAAACAGAGUUUGAAGGGCUGUGUGCUGUAAAAUAUCUGCUGUCGAAGCUAAAAGUUGAAACGUGUCCUGCAGUUUUCUGUGAAUCAACUAGACGUCUAAUAGUCAAACUUGGGUUCUUCAGUCUGCAAAACCUUUGCUUCAGCAAUUCUUACAGGGUCAAGCUGCUUUUUACAACCAAACAUGGAGCACUUUGCUGUGGAUAUUGCUGCUUUUAAAGAAAAAGAUAUCACUUUAAACUUGUCUAUAUGAUAGAUCAGUAUUUGGUGCGCAUUGAAGCAAAAAUCUUGCCUGUAACUGGUUUGUGUUCUGCUUGUUGCGCAUUUUGAUAAGAUCUAUCCGUAUGAAGAGACACAUUUCUAAGCCUGUCUUUCUACCAAGGUGUAUCCAAACCUUGUUUAUAAAUGUAGUAAUUAAAAAAACUGUGCAUGAACCUCAGGGUUCUGGUGCUCUCGCCUACCUCCAGUGAGCAGACCACUGCCCAGCAACAAAUAAAACAGAAAAUGUUGUCUUAGCUUAAAUUUUCUGCCUGAUUGUUUAUUGGGCAGCAAUCCAUAACCUGCAUGUUUCAGUGGUAGUCUGUUGGUUGUAUAGUGUGCUUGUUGUUUGAGUUGUAGUGUGUGAGGUCUUAGGCUAGGAGUGGAUGGUUGUACAGAGGAAGAGGUGGGUGCUCUCCAAGUCCUUCCCAGAGACUUUUUACUUCAGCAUCUGCUCCUUAUUGGCUGGUCAGAGAGUGUGCCCUGUCUCUGGACUGCUACCUAUCAAACAAGUAGAAACAAAAAAAAGGUAAGACCACUUUUUCUGUGUUACACCAUGUUUGAAGGUGUAAAGGAGGAAAAUAUCGUUUUAUUUUAUUUUUGCUUCUGGCCUAAGUACUUCAAAAGUUAAAUGCUUCAUCAAAAGAUAAUGAAGAUCGUAUGUUGCCAAUAAGUCAGUCGCUAAAUAUCAGAGUGACCUGCCAAGCAAGGUUAUUUAUAUGUUCUGCUCCUUUAUUGCAGAUCACCUUAGUUUUCUUUCCCUGACAGAUUCAUUGAAUUCAUUUUUAUAUUUUAAAAAUUGCAGAAGCCUCUUUUUACAAAGCAGAUAUUAUUCCUAGCUGGGCAGUCUUUGUGGGCAUGCUUUUCUCCUGCUUCCUUACCCACUAACUGGAUUCUCCAGGGCAGCAUCUUCCUGCCUUCUGAUAGGAAAGGCAGCAUGUUUGGGAUCUCUCUGUAGCCCCUCUUUUCAAGCCUGGCUUGAGCUAUGCCCACUAGCAAGUAGCUGAGGCUUAACCGCCAGGAAUCACACUGGUCCCUAUAGGUAGCCCAGCCUUCAGCUGUAAUGCUUUGCAGCCUCAAAGGUUACUUUCAUAGUGAAGUUGAAGGUCACAUCUUUUUACCGCGCAUAAUGAGGGAAACAGGAGACUGAUCUCAUCUUGGCAGUUCCCUGGCACUUGAAGGAAUUGUGCCAGUAUCUGGAGACAACGUGCUUAGGUGGAGCAUUUCUUGUAAUUGCCUUUUUUGAACAUCCCACCCUAUCCAAAAGAGCAAGCAGAAGCAAGAAUACCUUCUUGCGGAAUGAAGGUAACCCCACAGCCGGACAGUGGAUCAUUGACCAGAGGAUCUGGAAAGGGAUUAACAAUGCUUUAUUUCCUAGGAAAGAUUUAAAAACCUGCUAUAGCUUAGGGCAGUGCGUGGCAAACCCAUUAGCUAUACCAGUGAGAGGGAAAUUGCUCAUACACGCCUUCAAGCAUAAGGCAAGCUGGUUGUUUUUUUUUAUGUUUUACAUGGGACAAUGGACUCCAUUUCAGUUCUGGAUCAAGAAUAAGGAAUGCCUUUAGCUCCCAGAUACUUUUCCAUUGGACUCCACAUUUAAUGUUUCAUACUUGUGCCCUUUAAAAGUGAAUGGUGCCUUCCACUAGAGCCCAAUCAGAAUCUUUGGCAGGAAUCUAGCAAGGUCUUCAGCCCAUUACUAUGUGUUUUGUUGUUCUCUCUUGAAGAGGCAUAGCAGUGUCUCACAGCUAAUGUUCUGGACUUCUCUUCCUGGUAGGUACUAAUUGAUCACAAAGCAGAGGCCCCAACAAAAACAUAGAAACUACGUGUAUUCAUAGUUCCUUGAGUGAUUUUGCCCCACCCUCCUUCCUCUGGAGGUGUCUUGCUCUGAGACAGACAGUAAGACCUACAGACUUUGGAAAAGGAUGAAUAGAAAGCAGCAUUUCUGGGGCCCCUUUUCUUUUGACACCAGUUCUGAGAGAGAUGUGUGCACCUGAGCCUUCCAUGGUGUUUCAUGUGUUGGCCAGUGCUGAGGUACAGCACCUGGUGUGUGACUAAAGAAGACCAUUACAAGAAGGCGAGGAAUCUCCAUAGUUGGGGGAAAGUGAGGUUGAGCGGGGAAUUUGAAAGUGGCAGAUACAGUGGGUGGUGCCCCCCAGAGGCCCAAGUUUCUAUAGAAGGAAGAGUCAGGGCAAUUUCUUAGGCUCCAGUCUUUUUCUUUACAGUCAUUGAAGAGCCGUCUGCCUCCAUCACACUUGUUCUCUCUCUGUUCACCAAAUUGACCACAGUCAAUAAGACACAUGCAGACUCCAGGUCUCUGUUCCUCAGCAACUGACAAUAGCGCCUACAGCACAUAUUCCACAACUUACUAUUCACCAUAAUUGAAAAGGUGGGUAUUUAGUGUGUGGAGAGGCUAGGAACCAAAAUGGGUUGCGGCCAGGGUGUCGGUGCCAUUUAAACGAAUUGCAACUAGAACCUUGUUGGCAGGCCAUUCUCCUCUUAAAAGUCCUGUUCCAGUUUGCAGGUGUUUAUGGAUAGUGCCUGAGUUGCAACCUUGAGGUUGAUUUGCUUUGGACGAGAGCCUCCAGCCAUGUAUGACUAAAGAAAAAGGAAAGAUGGGCCAUUUUUUUACUUCUGAGUUUUCCUACUUCUGUUAUACAUGGCCUGCAGUUUGCCGGCCUCUAUUCCUCUCCUGUGCAAUCUGAAGCGUCAAUGUGUAUUGUUAACUGGUGGUUAGUAGCCGCGGGUCUCUUUGCAGCUUUGGAAGAAUUUGCAACUGAGCUGGCAGGAAGGGGCAUCCCCGCACCCUCCUCUGCAUUGUCACGACAGAUUCCUCUGCAGAGUCCCAGCCUGCCGGCCCUGUUUAACAUGAGAAGAAAAGCUCAUAGGCCAUAGAGGAGGGAACGCUGGAGGAGAUAGAAGAGGAGGUGCGCCAGAAGAAAUCUUCCCGCAAGCGCAAGAGGGAUGUGGAUGUCAGCUCAUCCACGCCAACCACCAGCACUCGCAGCCGGGAUAAAGAC